GUUUUUUUUGUUGUCUUCUUAUUUAAAAUAGUAUGACGGUAUACGGUAUGACUGUACAUAAAAAUUCAUGUGGUUUUUUUUUUGUAAACUCAAAUAUAAAGUUUAAAAAUUAAUGUUUUGCUUUUUUUUUAUAAAAAGAAUUUUCUUUCAACAAGAAGAUCCGGCUAUUUUCUGUGGAUGCAUACACAAGAAAGUACUCAAGAUGAAAAUUAGAAGUCAAGUUUAUCACUAUUAUUGUGUAUAUGUCGUAUGUUUUUACUGUUGUUUUAUAAUGGAAGAGGUUAACGAUUUUUAGCUUAAGGUAGGUGUUGCGUUUACGUGUUAACGACCGUACAAU